rnacentral:rRNA from 1 species
UACGUAGGGUGCAAGCGUUAAUCGGAAUACUGGGCGUAAAGCGUGCGCAGGCGGUUAUAUAAGACAGUUGUGAAAUCCCCGGGCUCAACCUGGGAACUGCAUCUGUGACUGUAUAGCUAGAGUACGGUAGAGGGGGAUGGAAUUCCGCGUGUAGCAGUGAAAUGCGUAGAUAUGCGGAGGAACACCGAUGGCGAAGGCAAUCCCCUGGACCUGUACUGACGCUCAUGCACGAAAGCGUGGGGAGC